AUUGAUUUAACCGGUUGUCAACAGCAGAUGUACUUUUCGUUCAAAGGUCUACGGGUUUUUUUUCUGUCACCGUUUGCAACUCAACUUGGUUUUAUCGCGCAAUCAAUAAAUCGAAAUUUAAUUUCAUUUUCGUUUAGUGGAGAAGUGUUGUUGCUGUUUUGAAUUUGUUAAGGUUUGUUCGCACUCGUGUGUAUGUAAUGUUAAUUAAGAGUGAUCAUGACUAAUAUAGAUAGAGUACUUCGCCGAAAGAAACGUAGCCGGUGACCUCAAAAGCCCUUAUGAUGUAUAUGGCGCUUCGUCUCUUGUCUUAUGACAUUUCACGUCUACAUGCCAACGAGAAAAUGUGGUAAAAAUCCGUUAUAAAAUCAACUCUGAUCGAAAACUUCAAUUAAAAUACGAACCAUCAAGAUAUCAACUCACACAAGACAAGAACACAUCAUGAAUCGACAAGAUCGUGAACGGAACAGACAACUGUAUUCACAAGAAAACCCAGAAACUUGGACGACUUGCAAUUACGGCCAACUACCGAAAUGGCUUCAAGACAACGACUAUCUGCACAAACGGCAUCGACCUGCAUUGCCUUCGUACCGUCAGUGUUUCGGUUCGAUAUUCCGUUUGCACACGGAAAGCGGUAAUAUAAUGACGCAUUUAAUCGGUUUCGUACUAUUUAUCGUCAUGGCAAGAACGUAUUUCGUCAAAAACGAAUUUACAUUGAUCGACAAUUUAAUGAUCAGCAUAUACUUUUGUGGCGUAAUGCUUUGCCAUUUGUUGAGUACAGUUUAUCACACAUGCAAAUGUCAUUCGCCGAACGCAUACCAACUGUUCCAUCGGCUCGAUUAUUGUGGCAUAUCGAUGCAAAUCAUUUGUUCAAUGAUUCCGGCAUUUUAUUACGGAUUCCAUCACAAAUACAUCCAAUGGUUCUAUCUGUACUGUGCCAUCGGGUUGAUAUUUUUCACCGCCGCAUUGGUCAUCUCAAUCAGACCGCGAUUCGGUACACCAGCGUACCGACCGCUCCGGGCAACAGUGUUCCUAACGUUCGGUUUGUCGAAUUUCAUACCCGGCUUCCACUGGUACCUGAUUGCUGAGCCAGACUUUGUGUAUCCAGUCUACUUGGUGGUGUUGCAAGGUUUACUUUAUGUGGUCGGAGCAGUCAUCUAUGCGUUACGAAUACCAGAAAAAUUGUAUGCAGGGAAAUGUGAUCUAUGGCCGCAAUCACAUCAAAUAUUUCAUAUAUUUGUCACGGUAGCAGCUAUCGUACACUUUAACAGUAUUCAUCAAAUGGUUCAAUUGAGACAAAUUGCUGUAUAGUUUGAAAUUUUCAAUAAAAAUUAUUUGUAUUCACA